rnacentral:rRNA from 1 species
AACGGACGCUGGCGGCAUGCCUAACACAUGCAAGUCGAACGAGACCUUCGGGUCUAGUGGCGCACGGGUGCGUAACGUGUGGGAACCUGCCCUUAGGUUCGGAAUAACUCCCCGAAAGGGGUGCUAAUACCGGAUAAUGUCUUCGGACCAAAGAUUUAUCGCCUUUGGAUGGGCCCGCGUUGGAUUAGCUAGUUGGUAGGGUAAAAGCCUACCAAGGCGACGAUCCAUAGCUGGUCUGAGAGGAUGAUCAGCCACACUGGGACUGAGACACGGCCCAGACUCCUACGGGAGGCAGCAGUGGGGAAUAUUGGACAAUGGGCGAAAGCCUGAUCCAGCAAUGCCGCGUGAGUGAUGAAGGCCUUAGGGUUGUAAAGCUCUUUUACCCGGGAUGAUAAUGACAGUACCGGGAGAAUAAGCUCCGGCUAACUCCGUG